GUGGCAUUCAAGACAGCAAAGUUUAAGAGCAUCACAGGGACCCAAGUGGUUGAACAGCACAGAAAACAUUGUUUGAGCAGAGAAAGUGUGAUUCAAAGCAGAUGAUUUUAACAGCACCACGAGACAAACAGUUCAGCGGCACAGAGAACAGUGUUCAUGCAAGAUCCUUUGUAAGUGAACUUGGCGCACGUGGCAUUCAACACAGCUGAGUGGGAUAACAAGCAUAAAACGGC